AGAAAGAGGCCUCCAUUCUGUGUUGUUUGUCUUGCCACCAGAAGAAGAUGAGCCAUGAUUCGAGAAAGAGCCAUCAAAAUUCACGUACAGAUGAUCUUCAUAGCUCCUCAUGUUGAUGAAUUCCUAUUGGUUAACAGAACAAUUGAUGACGUAUCAACACAUUUCGUCACCACUGGUGACUGCUAGAAGAAUGUCGAUAAUGGCUGGUCCGAUGCAACAGAUCCUGCAGACCCAGGAAAUGUUGAUGACGGCCGGGAAUCGAAAUUCAUGUAGCACUAUUUCUGGUCAGCACUUAUUGCGCUCGUUAGCAAUCAGUAUAGAACUUCGACGACGACUUACGCGUCACUGCUUGUGGUCGAGACUCCGUCAAGAAGAGAUUCAAUGGCCAUCCACUUGAUAGGAAAGCGACCUCCCUGCAGCGAAAACAAUGAACUAUGAUAGUGGAUAUCUGUUGUACAAAUUAUGUCCCUAAAACAUUGUAUGUUCUAAAAGCAAUAGUACAAGGCCUCGUGGUUACUAUAGAAAAAAGACAGGGAAAGAUGUCGACAGGUUUUCAUUCUUAUUCCGAGAAUUUUUUGAUUGAAAAAGAUAAAGUUCAUUUUAACAGACACAUCUGUAAUUUCGCCUCUCUAUUGAAACAUUUGGUGAUUAAAUUAAUAACGCGAAGGUGCAA